rnacentral:rRNA from 1 species
AGCGAACGCUGGCGGCAGGCUUAACACAUGCAAGUCGAGCGGGCAUCUUCGGGUGUCAGCGGCGGACGGGUGAGUAACGCGUGGGAACGUGCCUUCUGGUUCGGAAUAACUCAGGGAAACUUGAGCUAAUACCGGAUACGCCCUUUUGGGGAAAGGUUUACUGCCGGAAGAUCGGCCCGCGUCUGAUUAGCUAGUUGGUGGGGUAACGGCCUACCAAGGCGACGAUCAGUAGCUGGUCUGAGAGGAUGAUCAGCCACACUGGGACUGAGACACGGCCCAGACUCCUACGGGAGGCAGCAGUGGGGAAUAUUGGACAAUGGGGGCAACCCUGAUCCAGCCAUGCCGCGUGAGUGAUGAAGGCCUUAGGGUUGUAAAGCUCUUUUAUCCGGGACGAUAAUGACGGUACCGGAGGAAUAAGCCCCGGCUAACUUCGUGCCAGCCGCCGCCGUAA